rnacentral:misc_RNA from 1 species
GAGAGAGAGAGAGAGAGAGAAUGUACAAAUUUGAGAGACAGAUGAGAAACAUUUACAGUAUAUGGCCAAUUUCAAAAACAGAGCAACUCAAGCCGAGAAGAAUCCGGUGGAAGCAGCUCGCCCAAUUUGAGAUUUGGGUUCAAAAACCCAUUUGAAUUCCGACAUUUCUGAAUUCAGUUUUGCCAUUUCCAUCAUCUUCUUCAUCCUAAUCGAAGUAGCAGUUGCAGAGAUGGAAACCCCAGAAGCCAAAUCUUGAAGCUGUUGCUUCUCCAGAUCUUGCCUUGGAUUCUUCAUCCUCCUCUCGUAUUCCUCUGCUACAAGAAUUGCAAUAUCCGCCAUGGCUGUGAUGUUCGAAGC